rnacentral:rRNA from 1 species
GAUGAACGCUGGCGGCGUGCCUAAUACAUGCAAGUCGAGCGAACAGAUGAGGAGCUUGCUCCUCUGACGUUAGCGGCGGACGGGUGAGUAACACGUGGAUAUCCUACCUAUAAGACUGGGAUAACUUCGGGAAACCGGAGCUAAUACCGGAUAAUAUAUUGAACCGCAUGGUUCAAUAGUGAAAGACGGUUUUGCUGUCACUUAUAGAUGGAUCCGCGCCGCAUUAGCUAGUUGGUAAGGUAACGGCUUACCAAGGCAACGAUGCGUAGCCGACCUGAGAGGGUGAUCGGUCACACUGGAACUGAGACACGGUCCAGACUCCUACGGGAGGCAGCAGUAGGGAAUCUUCCGCAAUGGGCGAAAGCCUGACGGAGCAACGCCGCGUGAGUGAUGAAGGUCUUCGGAUCGUAAAACUCUGUUAUUAGGGAAGAACAAAUGUGUAAGUAACUAUGCACGUCUUGACGGUACCUAAUCAGAAAGCCACGGCUAACUACGUG